GAUGAAGAACGCAGCGAAAUGCGAUAAGUAGUGUGAAUUGCAGAAUUCAGUGAAUCAUCGAAUCUUUGAACGCACAUUGCGCCCUUUGGUAUUCCUUAGGGCAUGCCUGUUCGAGCGUCAUUUAAACCUUCAAGCUAAGCUUGGUGUUGGGUGACUGUCCGCUUCACGGCGGACUCGCCUCAAAAUUAUUGGCGGCCGGUACAUUGGCUUCGAGCGCAGCAGAAACGCGAACUCGGGCCCGUCGUAUUGGCUCCCAGAAGCUAUCUUCACAAUUUUGACCUCGGAUCAGGUAGGGAUACCCGCUGAACUUAAGCAUAUCAUAAGCGGAGGA
rnacentral:misc_RNA from 1 species